rnacentral:lncRNA from 1 species
GGCCUGUCCAUGACAGCGUAGGUUUGGAGUAAGGAACAGGGAAAGGGAAUGGUUUGGAUUAAAGUGGGCACGCCUAAGCCAGGAGUUCCGCGAAGGCAGCGAAGAGAGGACUAAGCACGCACAGUAUGCUCGGGGCUCCGGGGGUGCGGGGAGUGGGGACGCACCCUGCCCAGUGCUCUCCAUUGCGGAAUCUGCUAGCUUCGUCGGGCGCGAGAUACCAAGAAAGGUUGAUUUCCAGACCUUGGAGUCUCUGAGAUAAAGGAACGCCACAUCCCUGCCUCAGUCCAGUGGAUACUCGUGAUCCGGAAAAGCAGCUAAAGCCGCUUCUUCCCCCCAGUAGGUGAGGAGUCAACAGGCACACUCUAAAGACGAGGAAAUAAAGCCGGUCGUGACACCGUGAGAGCUGGUUCGCCCAACUACCCUUUCAGGGGAACGUCCACCCCACCUCUGCUGCCGAGCUUGGAAAAGUGGCAAGGAGUCGCAGUCCAGGACAAAACUCCGCCCCCGUCCCCGUGAAGGCCGCCCGUGGCUGGGGGCUACUGUAGAGGGGUGAGUCUGGGGAUUGCGCACGAUGAGAGGGGGUGGUUCUCCCCGGUAGCAGAGUCCGCGAGCCUUCGUCUCAAUCCUGGCCCCUUUCCCGCAGCCAGCUGUGCGCGAUCGGGAGCACACAGCCCUCGCUGCAGCCUUCUGCACGGUCGGGCAUAGGGAAAACCUUACAGUUUGUCGCCCCCUGUCGUCCCCCGGCCGGGUAUCGCGGGUUCCCGAGCUGCAGGCUAGGCUUGGUGAGAGAUGGCCCUAAGAUGAGAUUGCAGAAGGAAAAGAAACGUCUCUCCCACCUCCCAAGGAGGCAGCUUAGCCCUCUCCAUGGCCCGGGGACAGCUACUAGUCAGCGCUGAGCGCACAGAGGGCAGCAGAGGAUCCCAGAGUAUAAAGAGGGGAUACUGGAAGACAGUGGCAAGGGUGGCAUGAUUUUUGAAGACUUCCCAUCGCCCCCUUCACAACACACAGAAAUAUUAAAACGGAGAAACCAAAACCCCAGAAGCCGAAAAAUACCAGCAUAUAGAGAUGAACCACCCAGUAGCUACAGGGUCAGCAUGGGCUGUGCAAGGGGAAGGAGAGGGAGGUUGAGGGGGUGUCUGAAAGCCCUGAACCCAGUUUUCUCCUCAGAGCCAGGAGGCAUUUGCCACAGUGCUUAGUUAAGGUCUGAGUGGCCGGAGCAAACAAUAUGCUCUCAAAACUGACCCCUCAAGCUCUCUCAGAAUAAACUGCAGAGAUCAGAAUCCAACCUGAACAGUGCAGGUGCAGAAGAGACAACAGAAAGGAAAAGUCCAGAGAAAUGUGGAAGAGGCACAGACCCAGAAGAUCUCAAUGCCAGCUGCCAGGCUUGUUCACACUCACACCGACAAGGGAAGAGCCCUCGGGAGCCAUGACAUUAGAAAACUUCUCAAAGUACACUUCCCUUUUAAAAGCUCCAAAAGUCUAAUUUCAUGGAAAAAUAAGAACCAAAAAAAUGAUUGAAGUCAAAUCUGAUACAAAAUUAUUAUAAGAAAAAAAGAGAAGAAAGUAAAGAAAGAAAAGGGUGCACACCAACAAAAACUCACACUUCAAAAAGUCUUUACAAUGUAAUUUACAUCAAUACAAAUAUAACUUUACAAUAAUUCCUAAUGCUGUUCAAGUGAUAAUAUAUUUUAAAAGCCUAAAAAAGGUUAAAUAAAAAAUAACUCCCAGGCACGUGGAAUUUAUCCUUGUGACCAUGAGCAAAAGCCACUCAUCAUCAAAAUUGUCCUCAUGAUGCGCACGGUGGCUCAUGCCCGUAAUCCCCAGCACUGUGGGAGGCUGAGGCUGGAGGAUCAUUUGAGCCCAGGAAUUUGAGACCAGGCUGGGAAACAUAGUGAGAUCUCAGCCCUACAAAAAAAAAAAAAAUAAUAGGCAAGUAUGGCAGCACAUGCCUGUAGUCACAGCAACUCAGGAGGCUGAGGUGGGAGGAUCACUUGAGCCCAAAAAGUAAAGGCCGCAGUGAGCCAUGAUUGUGCCAUUGUACAACAGAGAAAGAGAGAGACUCUGUCUUUAAAAAAAAAAAGUGUGUUCUGAGUCCAUCCUGCUUCAGGCCACAUUCACAAAGAUAGGAGUCAAGUUCUGGCUUAUGCCAGGACCCACAGAAUCAAAGGGAGGUGUGAGUGUGAGUGUGUGUGUGAGAGAAUGUGUGAAUGUGCAAGUGUGGGGGGGCUGUAUAUGUGCAUGUGUGUGGGUAGAUGUGUGUGCAUGUGUGUGAGUGUGUGUAAAUGUGUGUGAGUGCAUGUAUGUGUGGGAGUGUGUAUGCAUGUGGGAGUGUGUAAAUGUGUGUGUUGGUGUGAAUUUGUGUAUGUAUAUGUGGGGGGGGCUGUAGUGUGUGUGUGUGUGAGUGUAGGAAGGAGGUUGGAAACCCGAUAGACUGACCUUGUGCUUAUCAAUAACUCUCUUCUGAAAAAUAAAACACAGAUGAUUCCCCAGUUUAAAACCUGUCCUGGGUGAAUGGGGGUACCUUUGACAGUAGGGUGCUAAUGUAAGCAGAUGGGGAGGGUCUCCAGGGACCAUAGAAAUUUAAUUGACUUAAGCAAUCGGCCUGUUUUACAGCCUCCUGCCUUGCAGCUGGUUUUCUUUUCUUUUUUUUCUUUUUUUUUUUUUUUUUUUUUUUUUUUUGAGACGGAGUCUCGCUCUUUCUCCCAGGCCGGACUGCAGUGGCGCUCUCUCGCCUCACUGCAAGCUCCGCCUCCUGGGUUCACGCCAUUCUCC